GAUGAACGCUGACAGAAUGCUUAACACAUGCAAGUCGACUUGAAGCAACUUCGGUUGUGGAAAGUGGCGGACGGGUGAGUAACGCGUAAAGAACUUGCCCUUCAGUCUGGGACAACCAUUGGAAACGAUGGCUAAUACCGGAUAUUAUGGAACUCUCGCAUGGGAGGAUCAUGAAAGCUAUAUGCGCUGAAGGAGAGCUUUGCGUUCCAUUAGCUAGUUGGUGAGGUAACGGCUCACCAAGGCGACGAUGGAUAGCCGGCCUGAGAGGGUGAUCGGCCACAAGGGGACUGAGACACGGCCCUUACUCCUACGGGAGGCAGCAGUGGGGAAUAUUGGACAAUGGACCAAAAGUCUGAUCCAGCAAUUCUGUGUGCACGAUGAAGGUUUUCGGAUCGUAAAGUGCUUUCAGUUGGGAAGAAGAAAGUGACGGUACCAACAGAAGAAGCGACGGCUAAAUACGUGCCAGCAGCCGCGGUAAUACGUAUGUCGCAAGCGUUAUUCGGAUUUAUUGGGCGUAAAGCGCGUCUAGGCGGAUUCAUAAGUCUGAUGUUAAAAUGCGGGGCUCAACUCCGUAUUGCGUUGGAAACUGUGAAUCUAGAGUAUCAGAGAGGUGGGCGGAACUACAAGUGUAGAGGUGAAAUUCGUAGAUAUUUGUAGGAAUGCCGAUGGAGAAGUCAGCUCACUGGAUGAAUACUGACGCUAAAGCGCGAAAGCGUGGGUAGCAAACAGG
rnacentral:rRNA from 1 species